AUUGAACGCUGGCGGCAUGCCUUACACAUGCAAGUCGAACGGCAGCACGGGAGCAAUCCUGGCGGCGAGUGGCGAACGGGUGAGUAAUAUAUCGGAACGUGCCCAGCAAUGGGGGAUAGCCCGGCGAAAGCCGGAUUAAUACCGCAUACGACCUACGGAUGAAAGCAGGGGAUCGCAAGACCUUGCGUUAUUGGAGCGGCCGAUAUCAGAUUAGCUAGUUGGUGGGGUAAAAGCCUACCAAGGCGACGAUCUGUAGCUGGUCUGAGAGGACGGCCAGUCACACUGGGACUGAGACACGGCCCAGACUCGUACGGGAGGCAGCAGUGGGGAAUUUUGGACAGUGGGCGCAAGCCUGAUCCAGCAAUGCCGCGUGCAGGAUGAAGGCCUUCGGGUUGUAAACUGCUUUUGUACGGAGCGAAAAGGCUUCCACUAAUACUGGGGGCUCAUGACGGUACCGUAAGAAUAAGCACCGGCUAACUACGUGCCAGCAGCCGCCGUAAGAC
rnacentral:rRNA from 1 species